CUCGACAAAAGAUCGCCCGUUGAGCCGCCAAACCGUGAAUUUUUAAGAAAGAAAAUCGGAAAUAUAAUCGGGGCGACUUAACAUUGCCACAAUAGCGCUUCCUUUUAAAAGCACAUAGAGAGAAAUUGGGGGUGCAUAGUUUUCCAAAGCAGUGAGCAAAGAUGCCUACAAUCGGUGUAAUCACGAGAAUUCUUGUUCUAUCUCUGGUAACCAUAGGUAUAUGCGGUUAUCCGGUCCAAAAUCAAGGUCCCACAACGAGUACUGCUGCUCCUAACAUAAUAGCACCGGCCGUGGCUUGCAACGCAAAAUUACAAGAAGAAGAAUGAUGACUUUUUCCGGAAUCUUCUUUGCUAGAGAUUUUUUCACAACGCACUUACAUGUUACAAGUACAACGGGUUGAGCUUGUUUUGAAGACCACAUUUAAUGUAUCGAUUUUAUUUAAAUAUGUAGUAAAUGCGGAUUUAAACCUCGUUCAUAUUAUACUGCAUAUU